GAUGAACGCUGGCGGCGUGCCUAAUACAUGCAAGUCGAGCGAACAGAUAAGGAGCUUGCUCCUUUGACGUUAGCGGCGGAAGGGUGAGUUACACGAGGAUCACCUACCUAUAAGACUGGGAUAACUUCGGGAAACCGGUGCUAAUACCGGAUAAUAUAUUGAACCGCAUGGUUCGAUAGUGAAAGGCGGCUUUGCUGUCCCUGAUAGAUGGAUCCGCGCCGUAUUAGCUAGUUGGUAAGGUAACGGCUUACCAAGGCAGGGAUACGUAGCCGACCUGUGAGGGUGAUGGGCCACACUGGAACUGAGACACGGUCCAGACUCCUACGGGAGGCAGCAGUAGGGAAUCGUGCGCAAUGGGCGGAAGCCUGACGGAGCAACGCCGCGUGAGUGAUGAAGGUCUUCGGAUCGUAAAACUCUGUUAUCAGUGAAGAACAAAUGUGUAAGUAACUGUGCACAUCGUGACGGUACCUGAUCAGAAAGCAACGGCUAACUACGUG
rnacentral:rRNA from 1 species